AUUCCCUUUUGGUGCCUGGCAAACUGGGACUCAUCUUCCUCUGUCUGCUAUUUGCUCUGUAUUAUGUCUGCUCCUUUGGAAGACAAAAAUUUGUGUCCAAAGGGAAAGUUCCAGAAAUGCUUCCAGGGAUGAUGAUGGGACUUUGAUUUCCAACAGUUAUCAUAAGACUAGCAGUAGAAUGGCAAAGCAGAUAAUCAGGAUCUCCCGGGUUUCCAGUUUUACAACACAAAUAAGACAAGUGGUAAGGAAUUUUUGAUUAUUUCAAGGAAAUUAUUGAGAUCACAGUCCGUGGAAUGUAGGACUGACAGGUCCACGAGGAAAUUAAAGUGAGGACAUGGUGAUCUGGCAUCACUUCCGAUCUUAAGGAACAGGUAUCUUCUGUAUGAAUGUUUGAAGACAUAUUGGAAAUCAGGAAUUUGUGGUGGAUGAAUAAAUUUUCUGAAGGGUUUAUUUCUUUAUUAGGAGGAAGAUUACCCUGAGCUAACAUCUGUGCCAGUCUUCCUCUCCUUUGUCCGUGGGAUGCCUCCACAGCAUGGCCGAUGAGUGGAGUAGGUCUGCACCUGGGAUCUGAACCCGCAAACCUCAGGCCCCUGAAGCAGAGCACACACAACUUUAACCGCUCAGCCACGGGGCUGGACUCUAUCUUAUUUAGUUGUGAACAUGAUCGUUUGGGUUAUGUAAAUGUCAGGACCUGGGAGUGAGUCGCUAAGAGUGGGGUAGUUGAUAAUGUCACAAUUGAUUUAAACCCUAAAGAGGCUAAGAGCAACAACUGGCCAAUGGGUUAACAAAAGGAAUAGUCAGAAAACACAGAAAGGAUGGGAAUUGGGAUCUGUAGUAAGCUGGGGGAUCACAUGUCCUCAGAGAGAGUGCCAGGACUUGCACAGAUGAGAAUGGCAAGAGCAAUAAAAGAGAAUAAAAUCACACUGAAACAAGGAGGGGGUGUUACAAGAUGGGGGAGGAAAACUGAUCUGGAGCAGUCCUGAGUUUUGACCUUGAGCUUUCUGUCCUUGACCCGAAUCUGCUUGACGAUGUCCUGGGACACAGGUCAGAAGAGCUCCAGAGGGAGAGAGGAAGGGUGGAAGUACAGGGAAACUGAGAUAAUUGUCCUAAGAAGCCAUGCUUCAUUUCUCAUUUGGGUCCAGUUUCAUGAUUACUUUCACAGGAUGAGAGGAAAAGAAGUGAUGAUGGUCAGGUCUUUGCAGAGGAAGCUGUGUGAUCGUGGGAAUCAACCCAAACCAAAGCCUGGAUUAAGAAUUCCCAUCUCUUUGAGGAUGCGCAGUUACAUAUUCAGAAGAUCUCUAUGUGCUGGAAAUUGGAUUCACAGAAAUGGACAAGGCCUUUGGGGGAUCGUGCUGUCAACAGAGACCUUUUCCGGCAUCAGCAACGUGAC
rnacentral:lncRNA from 1 species